rnacentral:rRNA from 1 species
CAGCAGCCGCGGUAACACGUAGGGUGCAAGCGUUAAUCGGAAUUACUGGGCGUAAAGCGUGCGCAGGCGGUUAUAUAAGACAGAUGUGAAAUCCCCGGGCUCAACCUGGGAACUGCAUUUGUGACUGUAUAGCUAGAGUACGGCAGAGGGGGAUGGAAUUCCGCGUGUAGCAGUGAAAUGCGUAGAUAUGCGGAGGAACACCGAUGGCGAAGGCAAUCCCCUGGGCCUGUACUGACGCUCAUGCACGAAAGCGUGGGGAGCAAACAGGAUUAGAUACCCGCGUAGUCCCUGUCUCUUAUAC